ACUUUGAUCCAUAGGCACUUAGGGACAGCAUCUGACUUUCCUAUGUGCAAAGUCUGUGGCAAGGGGGGUGAUGGACAAGCCAUCACUCGUCUAACGUAC